UCUACCCCCAAAUUUGUGGUUUCCUGUCAGCCUAGAGGUUCCUGCUUUUAUUUGUUUGCCAGUGGACCAGGGUUUGCGUGGUUUCCUGCCACCUGGCCCCAUGCCCCCCUUAUCUGCUCAUACUUGGCUAUCUGCCUGCUGUAACAAGUGUGUCUCCUUCUUUGUACCUGGAAGAGUAAAGCUCUAGAAACACUCUUAUCAAAAAGGAAAAGGACAGUGCUUCUCAAACCAUCUGAGGAGAAGAACCAAUUUUGCUUUUCCCAAUCCAUCAUGAACUCACACUUUUAUAAACUACAACAAAAAAGAACAGCUAGACAAAUGGAAUUAAAAGGUAUUGACUGAACUUAUAAUCAAGUUGAAUGUCCGUCAGAGUUGGGAAAACCUCAGCCUCUAUCAUGCUGAAUAAAGGCCUUAACCUGGGAAAAGAGAGGUUUAAAAAGAUGACUUUAGGUUAAAAGACUGGGGUUCAAGAGGGCAUCUCUAAAAAAAAAAAAGCUGCAGACUGAAACAGGAGGGAUGGAGGCAGCAUACGAUUCUUAAAAGAAUGAUGUAGUUCUUGAGGAUAUGACAACUGUUUAGAACCUACUAGGUCCAAGAUGGUGGAUGAUUCGACUUGCAGUGGACCCUGACCUUCAUUACACACUCACUGUAACGCAUUAGCUAAAUGAGAAGCCCACAGGCACCAGGACAGUUCUCCAGCCAACCAGAUAAGGCCAAAAAAUUUUUACUAGAAAUCCCUGUCCCUUCCUGGAAAUAGCUGGAAUAAUUCUCCCACUCAUUAGCCUAUGAAAUUUCCCAUUAAAAACUCGCCACCCCGGAGUUCCCGCUGGGGCACAGUGGGUUAAUGAUCCAGCUUGUCUCUGUGGAGGCACUGG